rnacentral:tRNA from 1 species
GCGGUCGUGGUGAAGUCGGCGGACACGUCGGUCUUCCAAACCGAAAAGCGGGUUCGAUGCCCGCCGGCCGCU